GCGUAUGCAAUCUACCUUUUGCAGAGGGAUAGCCCAGAGAAAAUUUGGAUUAAUACUCAUAGUAUAGUACUUUGGCAUCAAGGAACUAUUAAAGUCACAACGGCAAGAGAUGAGCAUGCGUCCCAUUAGCUAGUUGGUAAGGUAACGGCUUACCAAGGCUACGAUGGGUAGGGGUCCUGAGAGGGAGAUCCCCCACACUGGUACUGAGACACGGACCAGACUCCUACGGGAGGCAGCAGUGAGGAAUAUUGGACAAUGGGCGCAAGCCUGAUCCAGCCAUGCCGCGUGCAGGAUGACGGUCCUAUGGAUUGUAAACUGCUUUUAUACAGGAAGAAACACUCCGACGUGUCGGAGCUUGACGGUACUGUAAGAAUAAGGAUCGGCUAACUCCGUG
rnacentral:rRNA from 1 species